rnacentral:rRNA from 1 species
GACGAACGCUGGCGGCGUGCCUAAUACAUGCAAGUCGAGCGCAGGAACUCAUCCCAACCCUUCGGGGGGACGUUGACGGAAUGAGCGGCGGACGGGUGAUUAACACGCUAAGAACCUGCCCUCACUUCUGGGAUAACCACGAGAAAUCGGGGCUAAUACCGGAUGGGUCAUCGGACCGCAUGGUCCGAGGAUUAAUGGCGCUCCGACGUCGCCCGGGGCUGGCUUUGCGGUGCAUUAGCUAGUUGGUGGGGUAAUGGCCCACCAAGGCGACGAUGCAUAGCCGACCUGAGAGGGUGAUCGGCCACACUGGAACUGAGACACGGCCCAGACUCCUACGGGAGGCAGCAGUAGGGAAUCUUCCACAAUGGGCGAAAGCCUGAUGGAGCAACGCCGCGUGAACGAUGAAGGCCCUCGGGUCGUAAAGUUCUGUUGUAAGGGAAGAACAAGUGCCGCAGGCAAUGGCGGCACCUUGACGGUACCUUGCGAGAAAGCCACGGCUAACUACGUG